UUUGAUAGCAACCAGUCUCAGCCAGACCAAUCACUGUAGGUUGAUUCACUCUCAAACAGACACAACGACAAUAGUGUUCUUGUAUAAACAGAGACUGUAGAGUAGAUAGGAGAUAGACAGAUAGGAAGAUAUGACAGGUCCUGCAGCCCUGUACUGGAUGUUCCUGGAGAAGGCUGGGUAGGGUGUGUGAGACAGGAAGUGGGGACUCACAUGAGAGGAUCAUGUCCAGACAAGACCAAGAGGAAAAACUCACUAUUACAGACUGGUACAGUAUGUGUGUGACUCUCCAGCAGCAGGAGCUGAGGCUGUCUGAGGGCUCUUACAGGCCUCCAGGCCAAGCCCAGUCCUUCCUGGCCCAGCAGAGGCAGUCCACCCAGGCCAGGAGCAGGAGAGGCAUGGGGCUCUCUCCCAAGCUACAGCCCAGAUAGGAGGGGAGAUGGAGGGAGAGGUCCCUCUGUUGAGGGUGGUGGGAUUGACACUGGAUGGACAAGGAACGUUGGAAGAGGAUGUUGAUGGGAUUUUUGUGGCUGUUUAAAAAAAUCUUGGAUGUUAAAAAACAUAUUUUAUGUAACAUUGGCGCCACCUGCUGGUCAAAUGGUAUUGGUGUUCGUUUUUUGUCCAUCUCAGUUUGAAUCUAAAAGUUAAAGGAAUAGAUAGGACAAUAAAGGAACAUCACUAUUACAAUGUGUUGCCAAUGGAUUUUUGCGCUUGAAUAAAAUAUCAACAUGACUUACAGUAUAGCGCUCAUUUUCUCCAGAUUUUAUUUGACUGUAUUGUCUCACAUAUCUGCUGUCAUCCCAAACUAUUGUAUCUCAUAGCAACAGAAAUGG
ensembl:lncRNA